UGGGGGAUAUUGCACAAUGGGCGAAAGCCUGAUGCAGCGACGCCGCGUGGGGGAUGAAGGCUUUCGGGUUGUAAACCUCUUUCGCUAUCGAACAAGGCCCGCUUAGGGUGGGUUGAGGGUAGGUGGAGAAGAAGCGCCGGCUAACUACGUGCCAGCAGCCGCGGUAAUACGUAGGGCGCGAGCGUUGUCCGGAAUUAUUGGGCGUAAAGGGCUUGUAGGCGGCUUGCUGCGCCUGCUGUGAAAACGCGGGGCUUAACUUCGCGCGUGCAGUGGGUACGGGCAGGCUUGAGUGUGGUAGGGGUGACUGGAAUUCCAGGUGUAGCGGUGGAAUGCGCAGAUAUCUGGAGGAACACCGAUGGCGAAGGCAGGUCACUGGGCCAUUACUGACGCUGAGGAGCGAAAGCAUGGGUAGCGAACAGG
rnacentral:rRNA from 1 species